rnacentral:lncRNA from 1 species
UCCUCCUCCUCCUCCACUAGGGCCUCCUUCUCCUCUUCGUCCUCAUCCUACUUUUGGCUUCCCCUGGACUUCUUAGCUUGUCCCUCAAGUUGCUCCCUCACUCGCUCUUGGGCACACCUCCAGCCUUUGCAUCCUUUCCCUUUUUGCUCUUUCCUCCCCAGCUUCUUGCUCACUCUCCCUACCUUCAAGGCUUCAGCUUCCUCUCACUGGCCCUUCCCAACUACCAAUGUCCACCACCUACAACAAGUCUCCACUUUUUCCCACCUUCCCUUGGCUUUCAGGAGAAAAUCUUAUGCCCUCACACAUACACACACACACACACACACACACACACACACACACACAGAAACCCAGACAAGGGCACAUGCAAAUAUGUGCACAGGCACACCCAUAUACACAUAUACUGGCACACCCACAGAGAUGCACAUGGCCCCAUUAGGAGACCCUGGCACUCAAGGCCAGCCCUCCACUUUGUCUUGGCACUCAUUGGCCCUCAGAAGGAUACCCUGAGCUGCAUUCCCGCGUGACCCCUGUCCCCAUUUCUGCAGGGCCCAGUGGAACCUCCUCGGCUGCCAAUGGCAUUUCCGGAAAUCCCAACGAAGGUAAUUCUGGAGCCAAGAGCUUACACCCCUACUUCUCCGGGCCCUCCUCAGGGUCACCCGUGUCAACCCAUUGCUCCAAACAAAGUGCUCCAAACACACAGGCACGCUCCGUAGGCACCUGCAUCUUUGCAGGCAAGGCUAGAGCUCCCUGCCAUGCAAGAUACCCAACAAUUUUCCCCAGCCACCUUUUCCCCCACUCAUUUUGCCCAUCCAAUGGGCCUUACCUAAACACUGGGUUCCCCACGUGGCCAUUUCCCAGGACCAGUCACAUCCACAGGAGCCAGUGGGACAGGCAGAGCUGAAACCAGCACAAAGGGGAGAUCGCCAGCUGUGAGCAGUAGCUCCAGUGGAGCCAGCCAAGGUCAGUUGCCUUGGGGGACUCUUCUACCACCUGCAUGACACUCCUGCACACUCCACUUCUUGCUCAUGGCUGGCCCACUGAGAGACACUCCCAAUUGCCACUGGCUUCCAACUUCUCCGGCCAUGGGCCAUUCAUUCUCGCCUCUCUUUCUUCCUAUCAGGUGCUACUCCCCAAGCAACAGGCAGCACCAUCAGCCGAAGCAGCGAAGCACUCCGUUCCACAGGAGCCAGUGGGCUCAACUCAGCUCAAACCACCACCCAGGGAAGAUCCACAGCCAUUGGUGCCAGCUCCAGGGGAGCCACUCAAGGUUAGUUAG